GUGAGGAAUUUUCCGCAAUGGGCGAAAGCCUGACGGAGCAAUGCCGCGUGAAGGAUGAAGGCCUAUGGGUUGUAAACUUCUUUUCUCAGAAAAGAAUUAUGACGGUAUCUGAGGAAUAAGCAUCGGCUAACUCUGCGCCAGCAGCCGCGGUAAGACAGAGGAUGCAAGCGUUAUCCGGAAUGAUUGGGCGUAAAGCGUCUGUAGGUUGUUUAAAAAGUAUUCUGUCAAAGAUUAGGGCUUAACCCUAGAUAGGCAGAAUAAACUUUUAAGCUAGAGUUUGGUAGAGGCAGAGGGAAUUCCCGGUGGAGCGGUGAAAUGCGUAGAUAUCGGGAGGAACACCAAAGGCGAAGGCACUCUGCUGGGCCAAUACUAACACUGAGAGACGAAAGCGAGGGGAGCAAAUGGGAUUAGAAACCCGAGUAGUCC
rnacentral:rRNA from 1 species